rnacentral:lncRNA from 1 species
GCGUGUUACAUAAAAUUAUUUCUAUCUCUUGUGGAAAUAGGCCAGGGCCCCGCUUCCCGAUAACGAUGGAUCUUCGCUCGUACGAUCAUUCUCCCGAUGGAUCUUGCGAUCCAUCGAUAAUUUCUUUGUCGCGUUUCCCGAAACUCCUCUUAACGUGAACGCGCAUUCGCUGCACUCACGACGUCGUAGGAUUGUAACUGUCUACUGACACGGUGCUGAAAUGGGCUCCGUAGGAGGGGGAGACGCAGGAAUGUCGCAGGAAAAUUGUGUUAAAAAGGGUUAAAAUAUAUCCCCAUCAAGGACAACAGCAGAGUAGCCUACGGAAAAAAUAGACUGCAAUUAUAUGAAUGCUAAAGACAUUAAAACACAAUUGAUUAGGCUUAAACCGACAUAUAUCAGUCCUAAUCCUGAAUGCACUGUGCGUUUCACGGCAUUUUCCCCCCUGAAAUAAUUCCAUAUGACAAAAAAUUAAAAAUAGCUUGUGUGAAAACUACAUUUAUCUUAAUGGGCUGAUUUCUGAAACAUGCUUUGCGCAGCAAGAGAGCCGACUUAAUCUGAUUCCGCAUAAGGGUUUCCUUGAUUGAUAAUUUGAGUGGCUAUAAAAGCCCCUCCGGAAAUAGGGUAAGGUAUGUAUUGAUGAGGAAUACAACGAAGCCCACCGUCUGGCCCGGUGCAUCGUUGAGCGCACGAUCGGGAGGUGGAAGUUGCGCUUUAGAUGCCUUCACAAGUCAGGCGGAGGGCUCCAGUUUUCGCCGGCCAAGUUAUGCGCCGUGAUAUGUGUGACGGCUAUGUUGCACAACAUUGCAGCUAAGGCUGGGGUGGCAUUGUUUGAACCGGAGGACGCUGAGGACGAUGACGACGAGGAAGAUCGUGUGAGGACGGCCUCCCUCAUAACUACGCGGCUGGUUUUCAUGCGCGUCGAAGAGUGAUUGAGACUUUUUUUUAACCCCCUCCACCCUCCCACAUGUCACUAAACAUUCCCGUCAACGUGACCAAUCCCCACCAUAUCCCAGCCUUUUGCCUGCUCCUUUGCUUGUUUUUUAUAAUUUAUUUUAUUUCUUUAUUUUUUGUCAGUCUGCACAAAUCCCCCCACUUUCUCUCACACAUUUUGAGUGCCCUGCCUGCGCAAACAUUUUCUGGACUGUCCCGUUUUAUUUUGGCCAUUUUAACAUCUUUAUUCAUAAAUUAAUUAAUAAUCUUUAUUAAAGGUCCCAUGACAUGAAAAUCUCACUUUGGGAGGUUUUCUAACAUAAAUAUGAGUUCCCCUAGCCUGCCUAUGGUCCCCCAGUGGCUAAAACUUGCGUUUGGUGUAAAACUAGCACUAGCUGUUCUGCUCGCCUUUGAAAAAACGGAGGCUCAAGCGCGCUGAUUUGGAAUGUCUGUGCUCAUGACGUCAUCAGGAAUCUCAGCUCCUCCC